rnacentral:lncRNA from 1 species
UUCUCUCUGUCUACAGAUUUUCCCUCUUCCUCUUCUAACUCAACAACACUUUAGAGAACCCAAAAAGCAUAAUCGAUAAACCCGAAAGAAACCAAAACCCUUUAAUCCACUUUCUUUGUAUUUUUGCUGAUAGUUCUUUCUGUUGUUUGUGUAUGUAAUUGUGUGAUUCUGCUGGAAAUUGUGUAUUGGCUAAUGAAAUUGUGUAAUCGUGGAUAUAUGGUGGUUGAACUGUGUUUCGAUUCCCCGCAAUGCUGCUGUAAUUUGUUGCUCGGAUUGUCGCUUGAUUCUCUGUGUGUGAUAAUUGUUGCUGGGAUCUGGAUUUGUGGGUUGUGGCUCCCGAAACCUUGAUAGGCCCUAAAAACUAUACCCAAAAUUUUGCUGAAAUUGCCCUUUCUUUCUGGUGUCCAAUCGAAAGUUAUUUUUAUAGGUAUUUAAUCCCAAAUCAUAUAGAAGCGUAGAUCAAACAAGGUUUCGAUUCACAAGGGUUCCUUAUUGUAUUUGAAAUUUCGAUCCUUGAUUCAAGCCCAAAAAAAAGGCACUCUAUUGUCCAAAAGAAUUAUCAUCCACUCCAACUUCAGAG